UCUGCUCAAUGAUUUUUUAAAUUGCUGUGGUAUUUUGACUAUACAAAGGUAUUGUAAUAAGAUUUUAAUUGAAUGCUAAGAGAAUGGGAAUUUAAAAAAAGGCUUUUUUAAGAAUAAAAAUUGAAUUUUUUUUAAUUUGUGCAAAAACAAUUAUUUUUAUUAAAGACAAGAAGACCCUAAGAAUUUAUGAUUUUACCAUUUAAAAAUUUUUUUUUUUAAAAUCUUGGUUGGGGCGAUCAAAAAAUAUUAAUAACUUUUAAAAAUUUAAACUGAUCUAUUAUUAAUAAACUAAUGAAAUAAAUACUCUAGGGAUAACAGCGUAAUAAUUUUUGAUAGAUCUUAUUGAAAAAAUAGUUUGCGACCUCGAUGUUGGAUUAGGAUUCUUUUUUAAUGAAGAAGUAAUAUUAUUCCGCUGCCAAUCCCCC
rnacentral:rRNA from 1 species